AAAUUUUCCCUUGAGCUUCAGUGGCAUACGGCGGUCACACAACACGCCGGAUGCACUCUUCCACUUCAUCCAUCCAGCUUGUAUUCUAUGGUUGAGAUCUCCAUCUAAUUCUCCGUCCUUUUGCAAGAUAGAUCCUAGGUAACGAAAACGGUCGCUCUUUGGUAUUUCUUGAUCUCCGAUCCUCACCCCUAACUCGUUUUGGCCUCCAUUUGCACUGAACUUGCACUCCAUAUAUUCUAUCUUUGAUCGGCUUAGGCGAAGACCUUUAGAUUCCAACACUUCUCUCCAAAGGUUAAGCUUUGCAUUUACCCCUUCCUGAGUUUCAUCUAUCAACACUAUAUCGUCUGCGAAAAGCAUACACCAAGGAAUA
rnacentral:lncRNA from 1 species